CAUCCUUUUCCUGGACAUAGCCUCCUGCCCUCCCUGGUAGGACCCUCCUCUGAAGGUUUCUGAACGGCACUUGACAUUGGACGGUAGAUACUGGAUUCAUUGCCACCAAUAUCUGGAGACUGAAGUUUCUGGACAAGGAUAAUGAUGAUGCCAAUAAACAGGACAAAGUUGAUCUGCCGAAAAAUAAGACGCAGGACAAUGAUCCAAAGCAUUCCUAGAGAUCAACACAAAAAUUGCACGCUGACCAUAGAAUCAAGCUUUUGCGAUGGCCAUGCCAGUAACUUGAAAAACAUGUGUGGAGAACUGAAAAAGAGAGUGCACAAGAGAAGACCAGCAAGGACUCAGAAGGAGAUCUGGAGAGAUUCGGCAUGGGUGAAUGGUCUCAGAUGACAAGUGGAGGUAGAACAGUUUUUGAAAAUUAUAAUUUUACCUCAAUUCAAGGCUCAAUUUCUCUUUGAUUUUCAGUGUAAGGUCGAGAUGAUAAACAGUAUUGUUUUGCUUAUGUGACCAAGGAGCCCAAUAAUUGUCAAGGUAUGUUUACCUACUGCUGUGUGAAACACCAUGAAUACAUCUGUGUAAACCC